ACUCCUACGGGAGGCAGCAGUGGGGAAUAUUGCACAAUGGGGGAAACCCUGAUGCAGCCAUGCCGCGUGUGUGAAGAAGGCCUUCGGGUUGUAAAGCACUUUCAGUAGGGAGGAAGGUAGUGUAGUUAACACCUGCAUUAUUUGACGUUACCUACAGAAGAAGCACCGGCUAACUCCGUGCCAGCAGCCGCGGUAAUACGGAGGGUGCGAGCGUUAAUCGGAAUUACUGGGCGUAAAGCGCAUGCAGGCGGCCUGUUAAGUCAGAUGUGAAAGCCCGGGGCUUAACCUCGGAAUUGCAUUUGAAACUGGCAGGCUAGAGUCUUGUAGAGGGGGGUAGAAUUUCAGGUGUAGCGGUGAAAUGCGUAGAGAUCUGAAGGAAUACCAGUGGCGAAGGCGGCCCCCUGGACAAAGACUGACGCUCAGAUGCGAAAGCGUGGGGGAGCAAACAGGAUUAGAUACCCUGGUAGCACAGAG
rnacentral:rRNA from 1 species